GACACCAUGCCCCAGAGCCAAAUCACGAUAAGAUUGAAAGUAAGAAAGCCAAGUCAUAGGUCAGGCACAAAACUGCCCUACCAAACGGAGCCCAUUUAUUAAUCAGUCUACAAAACUCUCACCACUGGAGCCAGAACAAAAAGAUUAACAGCAGACCCUAGAAGAGUACUCACAGAGCUCAAGCAUCAUCAAGGGCAAGAACCCCUGGAAGGGGCUUCCCUUCCAAGAGCUCCAAGCUGGCACCACCACCGGUCGAGAUGUGGCUCAUCUGGUCAGCAAGCCCAGCCUUCUCCACAGCUGCAACAGAGUCUCCACCUCCGAUUAUGGUCACCGCACCCUUUCCAGUUAGUUCAGCCAAUUUCUUAGCAAUCGCAUCAGUUCCGACAGCGAACUUCUCAAACUCGAAAACACCCAUGGGUCCAUUCCAGAUGAUGGUCUUAGUGGUAUCCAGAGUUUCGCUAAAUGUCUUGAUGGAGUCUGGGCCAAUAUCAAGCCCCAUCCAGCCAUCGGGGAUAGCAGAUGCAGGUACAAUCUUGCUCUCUGCGUCUUUUGCAAACUUGUCAGCUACAACCACAUCGGUAGGCAACAAGAGUUGUACCCCCUUGGACUUUGCCUUCUCCAUAAGUGCGGUCGCAAGCUCAAGCUUGUCUUCCUCCACAAGAGAAGAACCGACAGAGUACCCUUGUGCCUUAUAAAAGGUAAAUAUCAUUCCACCACCUAGGAAAAGUAUAUCAACCUUCUCGAACAGUGAGUCUAUAACUCCGAUCUUUGAUGAAACCUUUGAGCCUCCGACUAUAGCAGCAAACGGUCUCCUAGGGUUAGCGACUGCUCCAACAAGGUAAUCGAGUUCCUUCUGCAUAAGGAAUCCAGCAACAGCUGGCUUCAAGAAUUUGGCGACUCCCUCUGUUGAAGCAUGAGCUCUGUGAGCAGUGCCAAAAGCA
rnacentral:misc_RNA from 1 species